rnacentral:rRNA from 1 species
UACGUAGGGGGCAAGCGUUGUCCGGAAUCAUUGGGCGUAAAGAGCGUGUAGGCGGCCAGAUAAGUCAGCUGUGAAAUCUCGAGGCUCAACUUCGAGCUGGCGGUGGAAACUGUCUGGCUAGAGUCCGGAAGAGGAGAAUGGAAUUCCUGGUGUAGCGGUGAAAUGCGCAGAUAUCAGGAAGAACACCCGUGGCGAAGGCGGUUCUCUGGGACGGUACUGACGCUGAGACGCGAAAGCGUGGGGAGCGAACAGG